CAGGCCUAACACAUGCAAGUCGAGCGGGGAAGGUUGCUUCGGUAACUGACCUAGCGGCGGACGGGUGAGUAAUGCUUAGGAAUCUGCCUAUUAGUGGGGGACAACAUCUCGAAAGGGAUGCUAAUACCGCAUACGUCCUACGGGAGAAAGCAGGGGACCUUCGGGCCUUGCGCUAAUAGAUGAGCCUAAGUCGGAUUAGCUAGUUGGUGGGGUAAAGGCCUACCAAGGCGACGAUCUGUAGCGGGUCUGAGAGGAUGAUCCGCCACACUGGGACUGAGACACGGCCCAGACUCCUACGGGAGGCAGCAGUGGGGAAUAUUGGACAAUGGGGGGAACCCUGAUCCAGCCAUGCCGCGUGUGUGAAGAAGGCCUUUUGGUUGUAAAGCACUUUAAGCGAGGAGGAGGCUACUGGUAUUAAUACUACCGGAUAGUGGACGUUACUCGCAGAAUAAGCACCGGCUACUCUG
rnacentral:rRNA from 1 species